rnacentral:lncRNA from 1 species
GUAUAGGAUAUUUUGGCCACAAUCUCAGAAGUUGUUUACAUUGAUUUGCUAGAAGGAGAUACUGAAUGCCAUGCCCGAUUCAAAACCCCAGAGGAUGCUCAGGCAGUAAUGAAUGCACAGACUGAAAUUAAAAAGAAGCACAGUUGGAACCUCGAGAUCCUUUCUGGUGAUCAUGAGCAGAGGUACUGGCAGAAGAUUUUGGUAGAUAGACAAGCCAAACUUAAUCAACCUCGGGAAAAGAAAAGAGGCACAGAAAAGGUAA